GGCCCAAGAUCUCUGCAAAGUCACAGUCCAGUCACUCACAUGUACAACUAUGGAAAGAUUAUGCGUCCUAGAUGUACUCUCCUCUCUGCCUGCUUGUCGUGGAAGAAGGAAACAGCUGCUAAGAAAAUUAGGCGGUGACCUACUCUGUGGUGAUGUCGUAGAUGCUGUACUCUGCCGUCCGCGUGUACAGGCGACCCUGGUGAACAAGGUCAAAGGUCAAACAGGGAGAGGGGUGAGAAAAGAUAUAUAAACAUUUCUGUGUCUGAACCAAAGGAAGAAAACUGAGGAGGCCACUCAGAGUGCUGCGCGGUGCAGGACGCUCGGGGACACGGUGACCCGGAGACUCAUCUUCGUGGGCUGAAUAACUGAGUGACACGCGACGCCCCUGCCUUGCCUUCUGGAUUACAAAGGAGCCAUUCACUCUUCCCCAAGAAGUCUGAGUUGGUCUGUGGGAUGGCAGGUUUGCCUAAGUGUUCUGAUUGGCUGGCAUGGCAGGUGUUGACAGUCAAGUCCGUCUUUUCCUGCACAUAGCUGCUACAGGUCUUGUAAUAAUUCUAUUGCACACUUUUUUUGUUAACCAAGAUUUUACUUUUUGGAUUAUCCUGUUAGGUGUAACCAAAACAGUGAACUAGUGGAUUAUCAACAGCAUUGAUGUUUUCAAUAAUGAAAUAUCUCAAGUUUGUUGUAAAGUGUUGGAAUAACAAAUUAUGUAAUAACAAAGAACAUGUGCAGAGCAAUCAACCAGGAAAUGUAUGGAAGCUGCUGCCUUACAUCCUGUCCCACUGUUGGCUUCACAAGGUCACAUAUAUGUACAAGCUUCAUGAAGCUUUACAUAUAGAAACCUUUCAAAGUCAUUAUUAUUAUUAGACAAAAAAUAUAAAAUAGAAAAUGCAUCAAGCUCCAAAACAUCUUGAACACAAAAUCUUGUACUGCUGGAUGAAAAUCAUUAAGAUCAAAACUCUUCCAGCUGUGAGACAGCACCAGGAGUGUUAGCCACAUAGUUCCAUCCAACACAUCACUGCACACUGCAUGGCACAGCUUACAAUAAAGGCUGCUGGGAAGUUCAUAAGUAGAGAUCUCACAGAGCUAUCUUGGUGUGAUCCUUCAGGAGUGCUUCCACAUAAGUGUCCAUUGCAUGACAAGUCUGCCAUUGUUUGUGGUAGAGUAAUGUGUCAUACUGUCAAAUUAAGUUUAAUUUUAAAUCCAAGGUUCAUUAAGUGAACUUUGUGAGCAAGCAUUUAAUAUGAAAAUUAAUCUGUACUUUUUAUUUAUAUAGAAACAAACAAUUGUGGCAGGAGUCAAGCACCAACAGCCAACCACUGCACUGGCUAUGGACAGGCUGGACUAAACAGCCCACAUGGAAAAAGUCUCCCUACAUUAUUUUUUUUUUCCAAUUUCUUGUACACACUGUGAUAACCAUCACACACACACACACACACACACACACACACACACACACACACACACACACACACACCGCUUAGUGUAGUGGUUAGCACUCUCAGCUUACAACCAAGAGGGUUCAGGUUCAAGUCCUGGGAAGCGGCGAGGCAAAUGGGCAAGACUCUUAAUACAUGCACACGUGCACACAGACGUGCGCACACACACACACACACACACACACACACACACACACACACACACACCGCUUAGUGUAGUGGUUAGCACGCUCAGCUUACAACCAAGAGGGUUCAGGUUCAAGUCCUGGGAAGCGGCGAGGCAAAUGGGCAAGACUCUUGAUACAUGCACACAACACACACACACACACUAAUUUACUGAGUUUCUACUCUAGAAUAGUUGAUAGAGUACAAGAGAGAGAGAGGGA